rnacentral:rRNA from 1 species
AGAGUUUGAUCAUGGCUCAGAACGAACGCUGGCGGCAUGCCUAACACAUGCAAGUCGAACGCCAUGGUUUCGGCCAUGGAGUGGCGCACGGGUGAGUAACGCGUGGGAACCUGCCCAGCAGUAUGGGACAACCGCGGGAAACUGCGGCUAAUACCGUAUACGCCCCUGCAAGGGGGGAAAGAUUGAUCGCUGUUGGAGGGGCCCGCGUCGGAUUAGGUAGUUGGUGGGGUAAUGGCCUACCAAGCCUGCGAUCCGUAGCUGGUCUGAGAGGAUGAUCAGCCACACUGGGACUGAGACACGGCCCAGACUCCUACGGGAGGCAGCAGUGGGGAAUAUUGGACAAUGGGCGCAAGCCUGAUCCAGCAAUGCCGCGUGAGUGAUGAAGGCCUUAGGGUUGUAAAGCUCUUUCACACGCGACGAUGAUGACGGUAGCGUGAGAAGAAGCCCCGGCUAACUCCGUGCCAGCAGCCGCGGUAAUACGGAGGGGGCAAGCGUUGUUCGGAAUUACUGGGCGUAAAGGGCGCGCAGGCGGCUGCUCAAGUCAGGCGUGAAAGGCCUGGGCUCAACCCGGGAAUUGCGCUUGAGACUGGGCUGGCUUGAGUGCGGGAGAGGAUGGUGGAAUUCCCAGUGUAGAGGUGAAAUUCGUAGAUAUUGGGAAGAACACCGGUGGCGAAGGCGGCCAUCUGGACCGCAACUGACGCUGAGGCGCGAAAGCGUGGGGAGCAAACAGGAUUAGAUACCCUCGUAGUCC